rnacentral:rRNA from 1 species
CCCUUAGAUGUUCUGGGCCGCACGCGCGCUACCCUGACGAUGGCAACGAGUUUUUCCUUCGCCGAAAGGUGUGGGUAAUCUUUUGAAACAUCGUCGUGCUGGGGAUAGAUCAUUGCAAUUUUUGAUCUUGAACGAGGAAUUCCUAGUAAGCGCGAGUCAUCAGCUCGCGUUGAUUACGUCCCUGCCCUUUGUACACACCGCCCGUCGCUACUACCGAUUGAAUGGUUUAGUGAGGACUCCUGAUUGGCGCCGCCGCCCCGGCAACGGAGCAGCGGACUGCCGAAAAGUUGUUCAAACUUGAUCAUUUAGAGGAAGUAAAAGUCGUAACA